rnacentral:rRNA from 1 species
GAUGAACGCUGGCGGCGUGCCUAAUACAUGCCAGUCGAGCGAACAGACGAGGAGCUUGCUCCUCUGACGUUAGCGGCGGACGGGUGAGUAACACGUGGAUAACCUACCUAUAAGACUGGGAUAACUUCGGGAAACCGGAGCUAAUACCGGAUAAUAUAUUGAACCGCAUGGUUCAAUAGUGAAAGACGGUUUUGCUGUCACUUAUAGAUGGAUCCGCGCCGCAUUAGCUAGUUGGUAAGGUAACAGCUUACCAAGGCAACGAUGCGUAGCCGACCUGAGAGGGUGAUCGGCCACACUGGAACUGAGACACGGUCCAGACUCCUACGGGAGGCAGCAGUAGGGAAUCUUCCGCAAUGGGCGAAAGCCUGACGGAGCAACGCCGCGUGAGUGAUGAAGGUCUUCGGAUCGUAAAACUCUGUUAUUAGGGAAGAACAAAUGUGUAAAUAACUAUGCACGUCUUGACGGUACCUAAUCAGAAAGCCACGGCUAACUACGUG